GACGAACGCUGGCGGCGUGCUUAACACAUGCAAGUCGAGCGGUAAGGCCCUUUCGGGGGUACGACGAGCGGCGAACGGGUGAGUAACACGUGGGUGACCUGCCCUCAGCUCUGGGAUAAGCCUGGGAAACCGGGUUCUAAUACCGGAUAUGACUCCAUGACGCAUGUUGUGGGGUGGAAAGCCUUGUGCGGCUGAGGAUGGGCCCGCGGCCUAUCAGCUUGUUGGUGGGGUGAUGGCCUACCAAGGCGACGACGGGUAGCCGGCCUGAGAGGGCGACCGGCCACACUGGGACUGAGACACGGCCCAGACUCCUACGGGAGGCAGCAGUGGGGAAUCUUGCGCAAUGGGCGAAAGCCUGACGCAGCGACGCCGCGUGAGGGAUGACGGCCUGGUGUAAC
rnacentral:rRNA from 1 species